rfam:Picea glauca, whole genome shotgun sequence.
GCAUGCCUACAACAUAGUGUUAAUGCACCAGAUCUCAUUAGAACUCUGUAGUUAAGCGUGAUCGGGAUAGAGUAGUACUGAGAUGGGUGAUUUCCUCGAAAGUCAUAGUGUUUUACAUGCC